CCGGGAAAUUGGUUUGAAAUCAAAGAAAAAUGUCUGCAAAGCAGGACUAAAAAUAACCAGGAUUCAGUUGUCAAAUAUGUCGACAUCAAACAUUACUGCACAGACUUUAUUAAAAUGCAAAUUUGGUGCAUAGCAGUUGCACCGCUUAAUGAUUAAUAAGUUUAAAUUGUUCUUCAUUUUAACAGAUUAUACGCAGAACACGUAUUCAUUAGCAACAAAUUUCUUCCGGAAAAUUGGUUUGAAAUCAAAGAUAAAUAUCUAAAACAAGGAUUUAAAAUAAUCAGGAUUCGAUUUUCAAAUAGGUAGACCUCUGGCAUCACUGCACAGAUAUUAUCUAUCGAGAUGCACAUCUUGUCCAAUAAAAUUGCAUUGUUUAAUAAUUAGUAAGAAUACAUUUGUAUUACUUUUUAUGCAGAUU
rnacentral:lncRNA from 1 species